rnacentral:lncRNA from 1 species
UGGGCCUUUGUAUUUGUGGCAUCUCUAAAUUCCUGAUUCCUUUCCUGGGAGCUCAUGUUCCUACACAGAUGAGAUGGAGACAAUAGAGAUAGAGGCCUUUCUAAAGAAAGUGAAUGGGUGGCAGUUAGCAGAGCCUGGAGAGCAGGAUCCAGAUGGGCAUAAGGAUUAUUUUGUCAUUGCCACUGUGCAUGUCUUGUGCACCUACUUCCUCAACCUCCUCAGUGACCAUCCCUUUCACUGCAUUAGGAAAGGAGUCAGGGAGAGGCAGAACCUCAGGGGCACAAACACCACAGUCACUCUAAAGGUAAAGGCUCCUAAAUAAAGGCUCCUAAUUCAUAGCAAUACCCCGCCCCCACCCUCCCAAUGCCCUUGGUCCUAUUAGUACACCGAAUCUGUCUUGGGACGUGGCUAAUGGAAUUACAUGCAGAAACAAAGAUGCUAUAUAAAUAGCUUUGGUCCAUCUUAAUUCCCUUCUUUUCUGCCUAGGACCCUGAAACCACAAGGAGGUUUUAGCCCAAGGGAACACCCUGAGUAUCUGGUAUAUCAUCUACCUCUCCAAAUGAAAGCCUCUGACUGUGCUGUGUAACAUGGACACUGAUAGUGGGAGAUGAUGGACUGUGAGUAGAAACUAAACAAAUGAAAACCCACUUACUGCUCCUCCCCCAAAAGCCUGGUACAAUCCUCCCCUCCUCUCACUUCCCUUUCUGUGUUCC